AGUGAACGCUGGCGGUAGGCCUAACACAUGCAAGUCGAACGGCAGCACAGUAAGAGCUUGCUCUUACGGGUGGCGAGUGGCGGACGGGUGAGGAAUACAUCGGAAUCUACUUUUUCGUGGGGGAUAACGUAGGGAAACUUACGCUAAUACCGCAUAUGACCUACGGGUUAAAGCAGUGGAUCUUCGGACCUUGCGCGAUUGAAUGAGCCGAUGUCGGAUUAGCUAGUUGGCGGGGUAAAGGCCCACCAAGGCGACGAUCCGUAGCUGGUCUGAGAGGAUGAUCAGCCACACUGGAACUGAGACACGGUCCAGACUCCUACGGGAGGAAGCAGUGGGGAAUAUUGGACAAUGGGCGCAAGCAUGAUCCAGCAAUACCGCGUGGGUGAAGAAGGCCUUCGGGUUGUAAAGCCCUUUUGUUGGGAAAGAAAAGCAGCAGGUUAAUACCCCGCUGUUCUGACGGUACCCAAAGAAUAAGCACCGGCUAACUUCGUG
rnacentral:rRNA from 1 species